GUAUAGUUCAAAUUUCAGUUAUUGUAUAUAUUGAUAGUUCAGUAUAUUUUGACGCAAGAGAAAAACUGUAAUGUGUGAUUUUUAACAGGAUUGUUACAUUUAUUUCUUGGAAUACGCAAUAUACAUAAAAGAAACAGAUUUCUUUGUUAGAUUACAAACUUCAACAGAAAUGUAUGCUGAAAUAAACAACUUAUUACAAGAGAGACUAAGAGGCACAGCUACUUUGUUGUUCAGAAAAUGAUUUCUUUUUCAAAUAAAAAACAAAUUAAUUUAAUAAAUUUUUCAAUCCAAUAUUAUACCUGAACCACUCUGACAUACACUUUGACGACAAAUAGAUAGUUUGUAAUUUAUAAUCUGAAGAACCCAUUACAAUUGCAAGGACCACAAAAAUCCUUAAACAGUGGAAUAACUGAUAAAUUGCAAAAAAGAGACGAAUAUAUCUAUAAGCAAUCUUAAGGCAAUAUAGUGUUUUUGGACUACAUAUCUAAAGUAUAUUACAUCACUAUUUCUGAGAAAAACUUAUUUGCUUCUCUAUUUUUAUGACUACAAGAACAAGAAAAUUCUUUAACGAUUUACUGAUCCCUAUUAGCAAUAACUUGGUGUUGUAGACAAAGUAGAGUGGGAUAAUCGAACGAAACAAAUACAGUACAAAAUUCAUUCUUUAUUUA